AUGGUUACCCUUACAAAAACACUGACUUUGGUUCUCAAUACAGUAAGUGCUUUUUGUUGGUAGUUUUG
rfam:Gasterosteus aculeatus cont1.007359, whole genome shotgun sequence.